AUUGAACGCUGGCGGCAUGCCUUACACAUGCAAGUCGAACGGCAGCGGGGACUUCGGUCCGCCGGCGAGUGGCGAACGGGUGAGUAAUGUAUCGGAACGUACCUUUCAGUGGGGGAUAACGUAGCGAAAGUUACGCUAAUACCGCAUAGUCUCUGAGGAGGCAAGCAGGGGACCUUCGGGCCUUGUGCUGAUGGAGCGGGCGAUAUCAGAUUGGCUAGUUGGCGAGGUAAAGGCUCACCAAGGCGACGAUCUGUAGCGGGUCUGAGAGGAUGAUCCGCCACACUGGGACUGAGACACGGCCCAGACUCCUACGGGAGGCAGCAGUGGGGAAUUUUGGACAAUGGGCGCAAGCCUGAUCCAGCCAUGCCGCGUGAGUGAAGAAGGCCUUCGGGUUGUAAAGCUCUUUCGGACGGGAAGAAAUUGGUGGGGCUAAUAUCCCCAUCGGAUGACGGUACCGUAAUAAGAAGCACCGGCUAACUACGUGCCAACCGCCGCCGUAAGAC
rnacentral:rRNA from 1 species